GGGUUGCCAUUUCCUCCUCCAGGGGAUCCUCCUGGACCAGGAAUUAAACCCAAGUCUCCUGCAUUGGCAGCUGGAUUCUUUACCGCUGAGCCACCACGGAAGCUCAUCCCUGCAACCUCAUCACUGGACUGACAUCCAUGCGAUGCAAGGACAGGAUGACAUUGAAAGGGUUUGAAAACAGAUCCUGGAAGGAAUGACUGAGCUAUUAUGCUGCUGGCUGAGAGGAGAAGCCCAGUCCUGGGGUUUUCCAGGAGGAAGGCUGAGGAGCUGAGGCCAAACUCUGUCUUACUUAAAACUGCAAAGCUGGUGGUGGAAAUGGAGAUGAGCCACUGGCGUGGGAGAAGGUGGAGGAAAAGCUUAGGGACGCCUUACAUCUGGUUGGAAAAAUUCUGAAACGGCAUGUUUACUGCUGGGAGGAGGUCAAAGACUGCUCCUGACUGCAAAUGGACCUGUUAAAUUUCCUGAUGAUAAGUAUGAUGGAGCCGGUGUUUUUCUUUCUUUCUUUCUUUCUUUUUUUUCAAAUUUUGAUUAGUGAAGAAUCUGCCUGCAAUGUGGGAGACCUGGGUCCGAUGCCUGGGUUGGGAAGAUGCCCUGGAGAAGAGAAAGGCUACCCACUCCAGUAUUCUGGCCUAGAUAAUUCUAUGGAUGGUAUAGUCCAUGGGGUCGCAAAGAGUCAGCCACGACUGAGGGACUUUCACUUUCACUUUUAGUAAAGCCAUAACUUAGAUGAGGCUCUUACAUUUUCAACUUGAAGAGUUUUUUUUUAAGUCCACUCAGUAUAUUACCAAUAGUACUAAUAUAAUUUUGAAACUUUUAUGCGUAUAGAAUUCAGCAUGAUUGUCAAUGUUUAAUGCAGUUCCUCUAAAAAUUAAAGCAGGUGGCUAACUUGGUAAAGAAUCCACCUGCAAUGAAGGAGACCUGGGCUCAAUCCCUGUGUCCAGAAGAUCCCCUGGAGGAGGGCAUGGCAACCCACUCCAGUAUUUUUGCCUGGAGAGUCCCAUGGACAGAGGAACCUGGUGGGCUACAGUCCACAGGGUCGCAAAGACUCGAACACGAAUGAGGGACUAACAUACUUUAAGAAAAUCUGAAUAAACUUAAACUUUUUUUUUUUCCUAAAGAGAGUUACUCUUGAAAGCUAAUAUACAAUGUCAAAAAUCUAACCCUACAUUAUUGAGCUGAGUAAAAAUGGAGCGGAUCUGAAGGUGCAAAACUCUGUGUGUGUGUGUGUGUGUGUGUGUGUGUGUGUGUCCAGCUUGGCAAAAGAGUUUCCCCUUUCUUCAAAGGUUUGUUGAUUUCAAGCGAAAGUCCUAGCUCUGUGGGGUGAUAUCCGUUGUGGAGAGGGGUCAUAGAAAAGAAGUAUUUUCAUGCUAAUCACGGAAGGGGCACUGUUUAUGAACUGGCAACGGAUCAAAAUGAAGGAUGUCAGAGACUCAGACUGCUCAGACCUGGCAAGAGCGCGUGCUUUCUGGGGGAGAUGAGUUAAGAUGAGACAGCACUGUUGAGGGCUCCGGGUUCUGGGUAAUUAACCUCCCCCGCCCCCCGGGAAGGCCGGCUGACCGGCGAGAGAGUGGACUUCCCCGCCCCUGAGCUCUCUGCCCCCACCCCUCCUCCUCGCUACCAAGGAUCACCCUCGUGAGGCCUCGUGGCGUUCCGCGCUGCCCUCACCGAGCCUGGCGCCUCUUCUGCCAGCGCGGGGCGGGG
ensembl:lncRNA